ACCGGCCCCUGGCCCAGAUGAUCCUGAGCUUAGCCACAGCAUCCUUCCCUCCUUCAGUCAGUUCCAGGAACAAACGCCGGAGAUUUUCAGUCGUUUUCACCCUUUGAAGUCUUUCCGUCUCGACACACUGACACAGAAAACCUCAUGUUUGAUUUUUACACUGUGCUCAGUAUGGGAGCUGUGAUGGAUGGUGAGGUGAUGCUCUGGAAUUCAUCCAAGACAAUACAGUGAACAGGAAAGUCUAUAUUCCCAGCUUCCUGUUGGGCGCCAUUCAGUUCCAGGGCGAAUUUGGAGUUGUCCCUGAGGUACGCACUUUGACAAUUGGUUCCAAAUUCCUUUCAAGACUAUGGACAUGUGCAUGUACACUACAGUAUAUGCAAUAAUAUUUCUCAGAGGUCCUCCACAGACAUGCAGUAAUAUGGUUUUGCAAUGCUUUGAACUCUUUUGGAAGAUUCUUAACUAAA